rnacentral:rRNA from 1 species
AUUGAACGCUGGCGGCAGGCCUAACACAUGCAAGUCGAACGAGUGGCGGACGGGUGAGUAAUGUCUGGGAAACUGCCCGAUGGAGGGGGAUAACUACUGGAAACGGUAGCUAAUACCGCAUACCAUCGGAUGUGCCCAGAUGGGAUUAGCUAGUGGGUGGGGUAACGGCUCACCUCGGCGACGAUCCCUGGCUGGUCUGAGAGGAUGACCAGCCACACUGGAACUGAGACAGGGGCCAGACGCCUACGGGAGGCAGCGGUGGGGAAUAUUGCACAAUGGGCGAAAGCCUGAUGCAGCCAUGCGGGGUGUAUGAAGAAGGCCUUCGGGUUGUAAAGUACUUUCAGCGAGGAGGCGUUACUCGCAGAAAAAGCACCGGCUAACUCCGUGCAGGCCGCCGCGGUAAUAC